AACGGAGGGUGCAAGCGUAGUUCGGAGUUAUUGGGCGUAAAGGGCGCGUAGGUGGUUGAUAGUCAGAUGAAAAAUCCUUUGGCUUAACUGAAGAACUGCAUCUGAAACUUCAUAACUCGAGAACAGGAAAGGGAAACGGAAUUCCCGGUGUAGAGGUGAAAUUCGUAGAUAUCGGGAGGAACACCAGUGGCGAAGGCGGUUUCCUGGCCUGAUACUGACACUGAGGCGCGAAAGCGUGGGGAGCAAACAG
rnacentral:rRNA from 1 species